rnacentral:rRNA from 1 species
GACGAAGGGGGCUAGCGUUGUUCGGAAUUACUGGGCGUAAAGCGAGUGUAGGUGGUUGUCGUAGUCAGGCGUGAAAGCCUUGAGCUCAACUCAAGAAAUGCGCUUGAUACUGGGCAGCUAGAGGACCGGAGAGGAUAGUGGAAUUCCCGGUGUAGCGGUGAAAUGCGUAGAUAUCGGGAGGAGCACCAGCGGCGAAGGCGGGUAUCUGGGCCAACACUGACGCUGAGGCGCGAAAGCUAGGGGAGCAAACAGG